rnacentral:rRNA from 1 species
UAGGGAAUCUUCGGCAAUGGACGAAAGUCUGACCGAGCAACGCCGCGUGAGUGAAGAAGGUUUUCGGAUCGUAAAACUCUGUUGUUAGAGAAGAACAAGGACGUUAGUAACUGAACGUCCCCUGACGGUAUCUAACCAGAAAGCCACGGCUAACUACGUGCCAGCAGCCGCGGUAUUACGUAGGUGGCAAGCGUUGUCUGGAUUUAUUGGGCGUAAAGCGAGCGCAGGCGGUUUCUUAAGUCUGAUGUGAAAGCCCCCGGCUCAACCGGGGAGGGUCAUUGGAAUCUGGGAGGCAUGAGUGCGGAAGAGGAGAGUGGAAUUCCAUUUGUAGCGGUGAAAUACGUAGAUAUAUGGAGGAACACCAGUGGCGAAGGCGGCUCUAUGGACUGUAACAGACGCUGGGGCUCGAAGGAGUGGGGAGCAAACAGG